rnacentral:rRNA from 1 species
UACGGGGGGAGCAAGCGUUGUUCGGAUUUACUGGGCGUAAAGGGCGCGUAGGCGGCCUCUUAAGUCGAACGUGAAAUCCCCGGGCUCAACCCGGGAACUGCGUCCGAUACUGGGGGGCUUGAAUACGGGAGAGGGAUGUGGAAUUCCAGGUGUAGCGGUGAAAUGCGUAGAUAUCUGGAGGAACACCGGUGGCGAAGGCGGCAUCCUGGACCGGUAUUGACGCUGAGGCGCGAAAGCCAGGGGAGCAAACGGG